GAAAUGCGAUAAGUAGUGUGAAUUGCAGAAUUCAGUGAAUCAUCGAAUCUUUGAACGUACAUUGCGCCCUUUGGUAUUCCUUAGGGCAUGCCUGUUCGAGCGUCAUCUAAACCUUCAAGCCCUGCUUGGUGUUGGGUGCCUGUCCCGCCUCCGCGCGCGGACUCACCUCAAAUCCAUUGGCGGCCCCCGCGUCGGCCACGAGCGCAGCAGAAACGCGAACUCGUGAGCCCGUCCGGGCGGCUCCCAGAAGCUACACCCACCCAGUUUGACCUCGGAUCAGGUAGGGAUACCCGCUGAACUUAAGC
rnacentral:misc_RNA from 1 species